UGUUUUUAAUUAACAGGUCACAUUUGCUUGCUUACCUGAAAACAGUUUCAUAUAUGAAGCAGCAGAACCCAUGGAAUUACAAGAGAGAACUGCCUAAGUGUCAGCGAAGAUCUAGCUAAACUCUAGAACAAACAUAGAAUAGGCCAGGAGCAAAGAGUCUGAUUUUCCUGUGCUGCACUGUACUUCUGAACUCACAGUGUUGUUCCUGAACUUUAUCGUGAUAUGUUUUAGACAAGAAUAGGAAAAUGUGAUUAUAGGAAGCCAACAUUCUGGGAAGAAUGGAGAAAAAACACGUCUUAGAGAGACUGAUCUUCUUGAAGGAAAAAAAAGAAGCACCUUCCCUCCCUCCCUUCCACUUCAGCAUCCUCCUUCAAAAAGCCUAUCCAAAAGAAAGCAAACAGAUGAACAAGCAGAGCUUUGAUUUUUGACUUCUAGGAGGUUUAACACAGAGUGCAAAAACCUAUGGUAACUGCAAGCUAGACAGUUGUUCAUACUCUAGUUAUCUUAGACACAAAAACUAUUUGAGAUAAAAGAACAGCUGUUUUAAAGAUACUUCUCAAGAAUUGGUGUGGCAUAUCUUAAUAUUCAUGCACAAUUUCUCUGAAAAUGAGCUCUGGCCUCCAGCAUUGCCAAACCUCAUCUUUUUGUGCAAGUGUUAGCUUUUGAAUGCACUGACUUCCUUUUACAAUUUUACAAACACACGUAACAUUGGUGAUGAGGCAGUUAAGAAGACAGAAAAGCAUACAAAAUAGGAAGUGUGGGUUUUAGAUCUAUCAGCUGAAAGAUGUUCAGAUAGUGAAAUAUUCAACAAUGAUGAAAAUAAUUAAAAACGAAGAUACUUGGGGCAAUAUUAAAUUGUACUUCAUAUUUUAAAGGACAGCUUCUCAGCAUCAGAGAAGGAGAAUGUGAAAUCAGGUAGGCGGAAGAGUUUACUUUUGUAUUAAUUUUAGUAAAUUUCAUAAUACAAUCGUAUGACAAAUAUUUGCAAAAUAUAUAUAUCUGCAUAAAAUCUGACUAAUAAAUGUUAUUAAAUUGGCAUCACAGAACAAAAUGUAGUAAAAACAUUAAAAACUAGAAAAGCCAGCUACGAAGUCUGGGGACAAGAAGAAAAUAACCCAGCAUAACACUAGAUUUAGGAGAAGGAACCAAAUCUACUUGUCCAUGACAUAACAUAUAUAAGCCCACUAAAGCUAAACAGAACAUCCAAGUCACUUACAAAGACCUAAAUCAUACCAUCACAUUUGUUAGCGAUGGCUGCCAAGGAGGUAAUAAAAUGGCAGAUGGAAUUUGAUGUGGGUACAUGUAAAACAUUAUAUGCAGGAGGAAAAAUACCUUUCUUCUACCUGCGUGGUGAUGAACUAGCUACUGACAUUCAGUAUAUUUAUCUGAAUAUUUAUCUGAAAAUGUCAGCCCAGUGGUUACUUUAGGCAAAAAAUCAAUCAAGCAAUCAAGGCACCACCCACCAACAAAUGAAAUGUUAGAAGUUGUUAAGAGCACAUUAUACAUCAUUACACAGUUCAGCUAUCAGUAACAUGCCUGUAUCUUGAAUACCACAUGCAGUUCUGAUUUCUCCACCCCUCCUUUUCAUAAAUUUUAUAGAAGAACUGGAAAAACUGCAAAGAAAAGCAGAAGGAUCAGAAGUGUGCCAUGCCUACUUCAGGAGGAAAAAGUACACAGAUGAGGACUUUUCAGCCCAGAAGAAAGAACUGUUUCUGCCACCAUGUGAAAUGUGGGCUACCAGAGAAGAGUUGAGGCUGAUCUCUGAAAGUGCCCUCGUCCAACCCCCAGCCCGAGGAGGACCACCCAGACAGAGCAGGGUACCCACACCCACACUCCAGGCAGCUUUUGAAGAUUUCCCAUGAGGGAACUGCACAGACUCUCAGGGCAACCCGUGCCAAUGGUUGGUAACCCUCACACAGAAGCACAUCCACUGGUAUUAAAAGCAUGUUAGGCAGCAGGCCUCCGACAAAGCCACUGGCCCUUGCAAGCUCAGCAAGAUCACACUGCUCUGUCUCCAGCCAUCAGCAUCCUGCUGUCCCUACUCACUGAGUGAGACAUUUAUAUUCUCAUCCACUCAAAAACUUACUGAAGUUUUUGAUUUUCUGUUCUGCCUUUUUUACUCUAGAAAAGCCUCUGCCUACAUCAGGAACUGUGCAUCCGAUGGCCGAGCCAUGCUGAAAAUUGCUGUAGGUACCUCAUUAAUCUUAAUUUGUCGAAGCUCCUCUUCUGCUGCAGUCAGAGGUGCAGGGGCGGACUGUGAUAUCAAAUAUUUUUUAUAUCCGUUCAGUGAAACAUCAUCCUGAAAGCACAGUAUCAGUACUCGUCAUUUGCAGAACUGAAGUAUUUUUUCUAACACAGUUCAUGCAGCAGUUAUUUCCCAUAUAUUUACAUUCAUUUUAUUCAGAGACUGCAAGUCUACGUGCAUUUGCAAGCUCUACUUGGCAUCCUGAACAGCAGGAUUCCCUGGGCUGCUCUUAUACCCAACUGUACAGUGGGCAGCACUUCCAGUCAGCCCAUAAUUACCUCACUAAUUAAAAAAUAAGUCUUUGUGAAAACAGAGGUAUACAUGAAGUUAUUCAGACCUCUUUAUGCAUGCACCUUGGAACUAUCUUAUAUAACUGAACACACAGCUAUUAGCAUUUUCACUGACAAAUUGCUAGCUACUAAAAUUCUUAUUCCAUAAAUUAAGAUGGCAACUAUGGACUUGAGUCCACUUUCACAGUCAAAUUUUAAAGAACAGACAACUUCAUACCCUUGGUUUAAGAUAAAAACGUUUGCUUUCAGUUGCUGAAGUCUCACUAAUAGCUGUUCUAGCCUAUGUGAUUCAGAUCCCUACAUCCACAAUGGCUUCUGUAAACAACUAGCCUGGAAGUUUUAAUGGUUACAGCUUUUGAAGGAUUCAUAAACAUGCAGUAAGAUUAAAAGACUGUACUGUUAGUCAUGGGUGAUUUAAUACCCAUUUGAAGGAAGGACAUCUUAAUCUUAAAUUGUUAAAUAUAAUUACUUUUUCAAAUGAGAGUUAUUACAUUUUAACGCUUGAAUAACACACAAAAUUUUCAACCCCCUGUUUCCUUCAUCAAAAAGAGCAACAUCACCACAAAUCAAUACCAGUAAAAUCAUCUAAUAUAAUUAGCAUUCCUGAGAACAUACCUCUGCUGUUCCAAAUACUUCAUCCUUAAUAUGACCACCUCCAAAUUCUUUCUUAAGUGUUGCCCGGGUUGCUGCAUACAACAUCUUUUGACGAACCUGAUAUAUCAUAAAACAGGGGUUUGUUUAAUUCUUUCUUCUGUGUAGUGUACACAGCUCAGGUGUACAACAACAGCAUUUUGGGGUAUCAAGUCCAUAAACAGCCCUUCUUGUACAAAUAUUUUAAGACUUGAAAGUGCAGUCUGAAACUGCAUUUCUUAACAACAGAACAGAAUGAGUUCUGGAGCAUGAUGCUAAUAUAUGUUAAAUUCUCAAGUGCACAAUAAGACAUUUUACUAUGCAUUAUUAUUAAACUAAUUUCUAAGCCAAACUGCAGCUUUAAUUAGAGCAUGAGCUUUAAAAAUAUAAUAAUAAUUAAAAAAACCCCACAAAACAGAACAGAACACAAUCCUUACUACUUCUGUUUAGGAAAAAAUAAACACAACAGAUUAGAUCAUUUGUCACCAGUCUGUCUACUGUAAUGUGAUACAUCACAGAAAGAACAAACUGCAAAUAACCUUUAUUAUUUUUGAUUUGGUAUUCAACUACAGAAUGGAAAAAUGAAAUUUUCUAGAGCACAAGACCUAAUGAUGCUUGCUUCCUAUCAAUUUGCAUCCAACAUACAUAUUCCUCUCCCCACAGUCCCAUUUUCCCCAGCUUAUUUCACCACCAUGCCAUCCUCAUCAGAAUACCCCAAUCUUUUCCACUCUAUUUCUUCUGUGCACUCCAGCUCUUGGUCUCCUACUGUUUCCUAAGUGCUAUCCAAAGUAGCGCAGGAAUCUGGGAAUAGAUUUACUUUGUCCUCCCCUAUCUCACAUUUACUGAACUUGGAGCUAAUACCCUACUUUCUCCUAGAAAUUGAUAAGGCUGACUUCCCUUUCCUCCCACACUCUGUAAGAAAGAGGACAUUCUCAGAUAGGUCACAGACUCAUAGAUGCCAACUGGUCUGCCAGCAAACCAAACAGAGUAAGCAGCUUUAGCUCAAACUAUAAUCUUUCUCUCUAUGAUGACACCAAUGGGGAUUUCUGUUCUAUGUUCUUCUAUUAUUUCCAUGAACACUGACAGAAAGAAGAGCACGAUAAUGUGUGCUUUUCCUCUGACCAAGCUAGAAAUAAGUUGGACCAGCUACACUCCAUCUAGACUCACAAUCAGCUUCAAGGAAGAUAUCUCUACAGUUUCCUUGGCAGAAAGUGUGAUGAAGGCUGGGGAAUGCUUCAUUCCCCAAAUCCUUCUCAUCUAGGAUUUGGAUCGAACAAUACUGUUGAAUAAAUGUUACAAAUUUAUGUCCUUUGCAUCUCUCCUCUAAAGACAGGCUGAGGGAGCUGGGCUUGUUCAGCCUGGAGAAGAGAAGGCUGCAAGGUGACCUCACUGCAGCCUUCCAGUACCUAAAGAGAGCUUACAAACAGGAAGGGAGUCAACUCUUUGAAGAGGGUAGAUAAUGGCAGGACAAGGGGAAGUGGUUUUAAGUUGAAGGAGGGAAGAUUUAGGUUGGAUGUCAGGGGGAAGUUCUUUGCUAUGAGAGCGGUGAGGUGCUGGAACAGGCUGCCCAGAGAGGCUGUGGAUGCCCCAUCCCUGGAGGUGUUCAAGGCCAGGUUGGAUGGGCAGCCUGAUCUAGUAUAAGAUAUGGAAGUCGGUGACUCCACUUGUGGCAAGGGGUUGGAACUUGAUGAUCCUUGAACUCCUUUCCAUUCCAAGCCAUUCUAUGAUUCUGUGACUACUACUUACAGGAGAGUGAUCAGGUGACCAAGCAAUAAAGAUCCAUUCAUAUCCUU